AGUUACUGUAACCACCUAGAUUGCAAGAAACCUUUCCUUUGUGGGCUAGCCAAGUGGGCAGGAGUAAAGGAUCACUUAGCUAUGGUGAAGUGUCCUCCUGUAGCUUUUCCCUAUCAGUUGACUCUGAAUGGAGGAUGACAACACACUAUUCGGCUGCUCUAUCUGCACUGCUACUAUACCAAGUGGUGUGACUGGCUGAUGCCUCUUUGCACUUCCCAUCCUCCAGAAACCCCUGUAAGGAUUUUCAAAGAAAUUUUACCUUGCUCCAGAACUAUGGGACCUCCUUCUUCUCAGUUGUCUGUUCAGACUCUUGGCAUCUUGUAGGGAGUAGAGGAAUUACUUUUGUGUUUGUCCUGUGUUGGGGAUGUUUGGAUUAAUUUUGCCAAAAACUUGGGAUGCUUGGCUAACAGCAAGCCUCGGACAUUGAAUUUACAACUACACAGACAUUGAGAGAACUCCAGAGGGAUUUACCUAACUUCAGAAGUGUGGAGACAUUUCGGGGUUGUGAAGCUUGUGAGAAAGGUCUUAUUUUUUUCUGGAAAAUUUAUACCCUGGUAAUAUCUAAGGAAACAUUCUGGGAAGGAGGGAGGUAUGUGUAUGGGGGUGGGUCUAGGGAAUAGUCUCUCUGGCUUUCGUGAGCAAAGAAAAUAUAUAUUUCUUCAUUCUUUGCUUAUGAUGCGCAUAUAGCAUGCCAUAGGACAUUUGACCUGGCCUUCAUUGCAUUGUCUCAGGAGCAAGAAUCAGCUGUGGGGGACCACACAGUUAUUAUUGUCUUUAUAAUUGAAUAAUAACAGUGUAUCUUGUCCAGAAUAAUUUGUGUGUUCCUUCAAGAUGAAAUUGAUAAAAUGAAUCUUCAAAACACAAUAUAAUUCAGUGCAAACUUCUAAUGUAAAUGAUCUUCAACUUUCACAUAAUUCAACCCUGUAUAUUUUGAGUGACCAUUGUCCCUAUGCUAAUUCCUGAAUCUUCUUCCCACUCUCCUUUCUUCUUCACUCCCUAUAGUAAUACAAAGCUAUAUACUUAAAAAGUUAUAUCUAAAUCACAAUAAAAUAAUGUGUUAUCAAACUACUCUCAAAAAUACGAUCAAGUUUAGGAAUAUGAAAGGUCGUUGGGGUAAAACUAACCAAGGGGACAUAAAAAUCAGAGUUCAAAAGAAAAGAGCCAGUGAAGCGGUUGAAGCUCAAGUGCAGCCUUAUAAGGCCUGCAGUCGUGGCCUGAGCCACACUCAGGCUUGUGAAUUGGGCUUCAAGAGGACUAUGGCCAGUGGUAAGCUGAUGAAUGCUUAACAGCCAAUUCUUGGGGCUUGAUUGUAG
rnacentral:lncRNA from 1 species